rnacentral:lncRNA from 1 species
CCCUGUCCCCUCUUGUCCACCCCCAAGUCCCCACCUUGAGGUUCUCGGCCACCAAGGGGACGUGGACACUGGUCCCACCUCAGCUCUUGGGUCUCCCCAGUGUCCCCACCGUCCCCAUGUCCUCAUCUUGGGCUUCCAAGUCCUCAGGGGACACCAGGACACGGCCCUCCCUGGUUCCUGCCUGUCCCCAAGGUCCUCAAUGCCCUCCAGCUGUCCCCAGUGUCCCCUGGAUGUCCCCAAAAUCCUCAUCUUGAGCUUCCAACUGCUGAGGGGACACCAGGACACGGCCCUCCCUGGUUCCUGCCUGUCCCCAAGGUCCUCAAUGCCCUCCAGGUGUCCCCAAUGUCCCCUGGAUGUCCCCAAAAUCCUCAUCUUGAGGUUCUUUCCACUGAGACGUCACCACCACUUGUCCCUGCCUGGUUCCUGCCCGUCCCCAAGGUCCCUCCCGUGUCCCCAAGGUCCCUCCCAUGCCCCCGAGGUCCCCCCACCUUGAACUUCUUGCCGCUGAGGGGGCAGAGCCACUUGUCCUUGCCCAGCUCCUGGGUGUUGGCCGUGACGAACUUCUCCAGCUCCU